UGGACUUAUCCUUACAAAUGACCUCAAUAUGUCAACAAAUGAGAUAAAGGCUCUAGGUGAUCCUACAACUGGAAAGUCUGCUGUUAGUAAGGAUUGGGUAGUUGGAAUGCUAAAUAGGCCUGUAUCUGGACUUAAUAUUGCUAGUGAUAUCGAUAUGAAGGACCAUGAGAUUAAGAAUCUUAAGGAUCCCUCUGAGGACCAGUCUGCUGUCACAAAAAAGUGGGCUGUUGAUAAUAACUUUAGACUAAAAGGUGGAAUUAUGCAAGCAGAUGUGUCCAUGGGAGGUUGGAGAUUGUUUGAUCUUAUUGAGCCUAAAAUUGAUAGUGAGGCUACAUCAAAAAAGUGGGUUGAAGAUAAAAUAUCUACACUUCUUG